CCUACGGGUGGCAGCAGUGAGGAAUAUUGGUCAAUGGGCGUAAGCCUGAACCAGCCAAGUAGCGUGCGGGAUGAAGGCUCUAUGGUUCGUAAACUGCUUUUGCACGGGGAUAACACUCUCCACUUGUGGAGGUUUGCAGGUACCGUGUGAAUAAGCGUCGGCUAAAUCCGUGCCAGCAGCCGCGGUAAUACGGAAGGGCCGAGCGUUAUCCGGAUUUAUUGGGCUUAAAGGGAGCGUAGGUUGGGCGUUAAGUCAGCUGUGAAAGUCGGGGGCUCAACCAGAGCACCGCAGUUGAAACUGGACGACUUGAGAGCACAACAGGCAGGCGGAAUUCGUGGUGUAGCGGUGAAAUGCAUAGAUAUCACGAGGAACCCCGAUUGCGAAGGCAGCCUACCGGGGUGCGACUGACGCUGAGGCUCGAAGGUGCGGGUAUCAAACAGGAUUAGAUACCCUUGUAGUC
rnacentral:rRNA from 1 species